AUUGAACGCUGGCGGCAGGCCUAACACAUGCAAGUCGAACGAGCGGCGGACGGGUGAGUAAUGUCUGGGACACUGCCUGAUAGAGGGGGAUAACUACUGGAAACGUUAGCUAAUACCGCAUACUAUCAGAUGAACCCAUAUGGGAUUAGCUAGUUGUGGGGUGAACGGCUCACCAAGGCGACGAUCCCUAGCUGGUCUGAGAGGAUGACCAGCAACACUGGAACUGAGACACGGCCCAGACUCCUACGGGAGGCAGCAGGGGGGAAGAUUGCACAAUGGGCGCAAGCCUGAUGCAGCCAUGCCGCGUGUAUGAAGAAGGCCUUAGGGUUGUAAAGUACUUUCAGCGGGGAGGCGUUACCCGCAGAAGAAGCACCGGCUAACUCCGUGCCAGCAGCCGCGGUAAUUC
rnacentral:rRNA from 1 species